GACGAACCGUGCGACCGUUGUUCGGAAUCACUGGGCUUAAAGGGCGCGUAGGCGGGCUGCCAAGUUCGGGGUGAAAUCCUCCCGCUCAACGGGAGAACGGCCCCGAAUACUGGCGGUCUCGAGGGAGGUAGGGGCGUGCGGAACUAUGGGUGGAGCGGUGAAAUGCGUUGAUAUCCAUAGGAACUCCGGUGGCGAAGGCGGCACGCUGGACCAACACUGACACUGAUGAGCGAAAGCCAGGGGAGCAAACGGG
rnacentral:rRNA from 1 species